GUUUUGUUAUCAUCAUCUACAUUCUCUGAUUUAUGUAGUGUCUAUGAACGUUAAUCAUGUCUUGGACAUUUAUCAAACUUACUGAUUUUUGUUUAUUUUGAUUUUCAUGUGAAUCCCUAAAUCUUGGAUAACAAUCGGACUCCGAUCAUUCAACAAGCAACAGAGUUCGUCGACCAAAACAGUUAUGGAUCCUAAAAACAAUGCUCCAAUCGUUUUUAAAGUUGAUUGAUGACUAUCAUCCUAUAUUUUUGGAAAUACCGUAUAAUGAGCGACCUUAUUGUGGGAAAGAAAAGUUCCAUAUGGCCAAUGUCUUGAAAUUAUUGAUGAUGACUUAUGCAACUGCAGGAGUCUGAAUCUUCUUCGAACACAAGACUUAGCAAGUUAGCAAGCGAAGGCAACUUUCCGAGUGAGUUGAAGGCAUUGAUAAACAAGAGGUUUGCGUUUAAGAUAACCAUAGCUUCGUUUAAUAUAAAAUAGAAAUCAGAUGGCUACUCUGUUUCCAAGUUGACUGAAAAUCCUUCCAUCAUCAAAGAUCUUGAUACUCAUUUUGAUGUUUACCAGGUUCUAUAUGUACCCUAAACGUUAACUU